GCUAACCAUAUGUUCUGGGUUUUGUUUACAUUUGCUAUUUUAUUUGCUUACUUUUUGAAAUAAAAGAAAUUUGAAAUUUACUGAUAUGGAGACCAAAAGGACAGCACAUUUUGCAGGAUUCUGGUAACUGCAGGACAAAAUUUGAUUUGGACUUGAUGCCGACGCAAUUUGUGCAUGGAUUAUCUUGGGAGUGCCCCUUAAAUUGAAGAGAUGGCAGAUUCUUCUGAAGACUUUGUCGCGUUCUUGGGCAUGGACAUAAUAUAUAAAUAUACAAAAAAAUUUGUUCAACUAUUGCGAGCACAUCGUGCAGGAUUUUAAAAAACCAAAGCUCCAAAUUCAAGAAUCAAUUUUUAAAAGGUUGGUGUUACCCCUUAAGGUAACCACUGCGACUUCAAGUCGACCCACCUGCAGUCAAUUGCCAGCAGCUUAACUAGUUCCGACUAAUAAGGCUUCAAAAAAUCCUAGCUUAAAAACAUUCUGAUUAUUUUUUUGUCUGAUUAUUUUUUGACCAUAUUUAAAGUUAAAGUAACCUUUUUCUAUUACAAUGUCAAUUCUUAUCAAGUUGGUCUAAAGCCGUAGAUUUCGAGUGUAAAGUGGAAAGUCGGAUGCAAAAGCAGAAAACCUAAGGCGGCUCACAUUUGUCCAAAUAUCAUAGCGAGUAAGCAUUGGCGGCGGCGCUUCGAGUGAAACAAAAUAUUGCCUGUGUUUGGCGACUUGCUGUCGCCAAAAGUGAUAUGCAAAUGAGCAAUGAGAGCCGCAAAUUUACUGUUUAUAUGCCAUGCAGAAAUUUGAGCAACUCAGAACGAUGUAAUUGGACCAGGGUGGUCAGAAAAAAAGACAAUGUUUUGACUACCAUAUUGACGAAGUUAAUAUGUCCUUGAAGUUUAUAUCUUUAAAUGGAAAAAAUCAGACAACCUCAACCUCAAGUCACUUUAUUUAAUGCACCAAAACGCAUAGUACAAGCUGAAAAGAGUAGGACUUCAGUGUUUAUAACUCAUACGUACUGUUGCCUUCGAACAAAUGUUUUUUUCCUCCAGGUGCCGUUUAUUUAAAUUUGUAUGAAAACUGGUCAUAAUUUUUGGGGUUUUGAAUAAAUUCUAUACACUGCCCUCUUUUAUAAAUCUGCCAUAAUAAAUGGUAAGAGUAACUAUAGGACUCUAUUAUACAUCCAUAAGAUAACGAUAGCCCAAUAACCAACAUAUUCAUAUAAAAAUAUCAUACCUGCUACGUCAACAAUUUUAUAUGCCAAAGAUAUAACUCGCUAUGCUAUAAAACAAUUAGGAUCGCAACUCAGUUUAAAUCUAAAAUUAAGGAAUACAUAAAGUAAUAUAAACAACAAAAGAAAAUUUAAAUUUUAUUAAAAACCGCUCAAAAAGCCACUAUUUUAUUAAUAAUCUUAAAAAAAAGAAGGAAAAUAUUGAGUAAGACAAAACGUAAGAUAAAGGUAUUAGUUUAAAGUCUUUGCCUGUUUGAAUAAGUUUGUAUUUUUAUUUCAACGU